ACGCUGGGAGGGGAGCUGCUUGCUAACACCUAGCAGCUAACUCUCAUCUCUGGAGUCUUCAUGCCCCUUCAUCUGGGAAGCAGACUGCUGCCUGCCCACCUCCAGCAUUAAUUUCCAAAUGAAAUCCCAUAUUUGUUCUCCUGUGGGAAGAGAAAAGAACAGAAAGACCUUCAGAGUUGCUGGCAAUCAAAUACUCUUUCAUUGAAUCGGCUCAGAUCAACAUCCUCAUAACAUUACAGCAACUUCUCCCACAAAAGUCAGAAUCUGAGCCUGAGGAGUACAUAUACCUCCCUGAAUCCCAUGUCCUGCACUAUGAUAUCACAGAAGAGUAGCUUAGUACAGGAAAUAGGAAAUGUGGAUUUUGUCAGCCACACUGCAAAGCUGCAAUUUUACUUUCUUCAGCAUUUCUCCUUGGCUUAGCCAGCAUUUCAUCCAUUUUCACAGUCAAAGCAUGCACCCAACAGAAAACAAAGAUGAAAAGAAAAGAAUAAAAAGGAGGAAAUCACAACACACGUUUGAGAAAGAGUUGAGGAUUGAAAGCCUAUCAGUCCGGUUCUUUAUGACGACUUUCACCUUCACCCGUAUUCUUCUUUACCGCUUGAAUGGGGCUCCUGGACAAAAGAAAUAUUUGAACUCGGACACUCCUGUGUGGUUACAACAUGCCUAAGGUACAUGGGGAUUCUCUGUGGCAUUUAGCAUACUGGAGGCAGUUGGUGCAGCAACAUAAAAGCCAGUUCCCACAUGAGAACAAGUUGCUGUAUUUCCAGAUCUGCGUUACAUCCCACUGAUCAUCUUACCAUUCCAGAAGGCAACCAAUGGCCACUGGGCAAAGACGACCUGACUGGCACGUGUGACAAUAUCUGCUUACAAGCUUUGUUUACUUCACAAUUUCAGAGCCACAAAGGCACAGGUCUUAGGAAUUUUUUUUUUUUUCCUAAGGUCUUAGAAAAAAAUAAUACAAAAAUCCCCCUUAUGUUCCAGAGCUGGAGCUUUAUGUUUGGCUGAAAACAAAGUUCCUUAUCCGAAUAGAUAAAAACUAACAUUGUAAACAAUCUAAACAGAAACUGAAGAGACAGUCACACAAACCUGAGGCAACAGCUCUGAGCUGUGAGUUUUUACAGUCUGGAGCCAAAUCCAAUUUAAACAUUUACUUUUUCAACUCUAUCAUUACUGACCACAUUAACAGAAAUACUCUGCUGUGUGCUGUUUAAAUUUGCCCUCUACAACUUCACAAGUAUCAAAACCUACAACCAAAAGGAGAAACUUCUCAAAAUUUUGAAGAUGUGACAAAGAAUUCAGAGAUUUUACAAUGAGGACACAACCAUUCUCUUCAGAAUCUAGGAUAUUAUCAAAUCUAGGUAUAGCUCUAACAGUAACACCUUAGCCCUCAUUUAGCUAACCAGAUGCCACAGCAGCACUUUACCUAGCAGUAAAGAUGGAGUUGCCAUGUUGCCCUGUACACCCUGUAAAAUGGAAAACACACAGCACAUCUUAGACUGUAUUUCUCCACAUUCGUCCUGGAAGAAAACUUCUGUCACGAACUUUCAGUAAAGUUUCCCUAAAAAUCUCA